CGGGAAGUAGCUCAGCUUGGUAGAGCACUUGGUUUGGGACCAAGGGGUCGCAGGUUCGAAUCCUGUCUUCUCGA
rnacentral:tRNA from 2 species